rnacentral:rRNA from 1 species
UACAGAGGGGGCAAGCGUUGUUCGGAAUUACUGGGCGUAAAGGGCGCAUAGGCGGCCUGUUAAGUCGGACGUGAAAUCCCUCGGCUCAACCGGGGAACUGCGUCCGAUACUGGCGGGCUUGAAUUCGGGAGAGGGAUGUGGAAUUCCAGGUGUAGCGGUGAAAUGCGUAGAUAUCUGGAAGAACACCGGUGGCGAAGGCGGCGCUCUGGACCGAGACUGACGCUGAGGCGCGAAAGCGUGGGGAGCAAACAGG